rnacentral:rRNA from 1 species
GCAAGAUACCACGGGCGCACGGCGGAUGCCUUGGCACAGGGAGCCGAUGAAGGACGCGGCAAGCUGCGAUAAUCCCCGGCGAGGAGCACACAUCCUUCGACCCGGGGGUCUCCGAAUGGGCGAACCCAUCCACAGCAGUGUGGAUAUCCCCCCGCUGAACGCAUAGGCGGGGGGAGGACAACCCGGGGAACUGAAACAUCUAAGUACCCGGAGGAGAGGAAAUCAAUCUCGAGACUCCCCGAGUAGCGGCGAGCGAAAGGGGACCGAUGGCCAAACCGUCGAGCGGGCAUACCCGGCAGGGGUUCCGCCGACGGGGUUGCAGGGCCGCGCAUCCGGGGGCUGCCGCCCCCGGGCGCAGGUCCGGCUGGGGAGCGGAACGGCAUGGGAGGGCCGGCCGCAGCGGGUGACAGCCCCGUACGCGAACCCAGACCGGACGGCGCGACGCGGUCCCUGAGUAGGGCCGGGCACGUGAAACCCGGUCCGAACCUGGGUGGACCACCAUCCAAGCCUGAGUACUACCCUGUGACCGAUAGCGCACCAGUACCGUGAGGGAAAGGUGAAAAGCACCCCGGGAGGGGAGUGAAACAGUACCUGAAACCGUGCGCCCACGAGCAGUCGGAGCAACUUUUAAGUUGUGACGGCGUGCCUUUUGUAGAAUGAGCCAGCGAGUCGCUGGCGCGGGGCGAGGUUAACCGAAAGGGAGCCGGAGCGAAAGCGAGCCUUAACAGGGCGACUUGAGUCCCGCGCCGCGGACGCGAAGCCGGGUGAGCUAUCCGUGGGCAGGCUGAAGCGGGGGUAAGACCCCGUGGAGGGCCGAACGCACGUCGGUUGAAAACGGCGGCGAUGACCUGCGGAUAGGGGUGAAAGGCCAAUCAAACCCGGAGAUAUCUCGUUCUCCCCGAAAUAGCUUUAGGGCUAGCGUCGCGCGUUCACCGCCGGAGGUAGAGCACCGGAUGGACGAGGGGGCUUCGCCGCCUACCGAAUCCAACCGAACUCCGAAUGCCGGCGGCCCAGAGCGCGGCAGUCAGAGCAUGUGGGCUAAGCUGUGUGCUCGAGAGGGAAACAGCCCGGACCGCCCGCUAAGGUCCCCAAGUUCCAGCCGAGUGGCAAAGGAUGUGCGUCCGCCCAGACAACCAGGAUGUUGGCUUAGAAGCAGCCAUCCAUUCAAAGAGUGCGUAACAGCUCACUGGUCGAGUGGACAUGCGCCGACAAUACACGGGGCUAAGCUGGACACCGAAGCGGCGGGAUUUUGAUUUUCAGAAUCGGUAGGGGAGCUUCCCAUGGGCGGAGAAGCCGGAGGGCGACCGACGGUGGAGCGCAUGGGAGUGAGAAUGCUGGCAUGAGUAGCGAGAGACGAGAGAGUAACUCGUCCGCCGUGAACCCGAGGUUUCCUGGGCAAGGCUAAUCCUCCCAGGGUCAGUCGGGGGCUAAGGCGAGGCCGGGAGGCGUAGCCGACGCGCAGCAGGCAGACAUUCCUGCACCGCGCACGCGGCGCUACGACCGACGGGGCGACGGAUGGGGGUGGCUCGGCGGGGUUCUGGACGUCCCCGUGAUGGAGCGCGGCCCGCGGACCAGGGAAAUCCGGUCCGCAGAAGGGCGAGGCUCCGGACGAAGCGAUUGAGCGAAGCGAGUGAGCCCGAGGUCCCUAGAAAAACCCCUAGGCAGGCGCGUGCGCGCCCGUACCGCAAACCGACACAGGUGGGUGGGUAGAACAUACCGAGGCGAUCGGGUCAACCAUGGUCAAGGAACUCGGCACAAUGGCCCCGUAACUUCGGGAGAAGGGGUGCCCGCGCGUACGUGAACCGGCUUGCCCGGGGAGCGGAGGCGGGCCGCAGUGGAGAGGCCCAAGCGACUGUUUACCAAAAACACAGGACUCUGCAGAAGCCGCAAGGCGACGUAUAGGGUCUGACGCCUGCCCGGUGCCGGAAGGUCACGCGGAGGAGUUAGCGCAUCGCGCGAAGCCCCGAAGCCAAGCCCCGGUAAACGGCGGCCGUAACUAUAACGGUCCUAAGGUAGCGAAAUUCCUUGUCGGGUAAGUUCCGACCUGCACGAAAGGCGCAACGACUUGGGCGCUGUCUCGACCAUGGACCCGGUGAAAUUGCACUGGUCGUGAAGAUGCGACUUACCCGCGGAAGGACGGAAAGACCCCGUGAACCUUCACUGCAGCUUGGCAUUGGCCGCUGGUCCCGCGUGUAGAGGAUAGGCAGGAGGCAUCGAUCCGGAGGCGCCAGCCCCCGGGGAGCCGCCCUUGGAAUACUGCCCUCGCGCGACCGGCGUCCUAACCCGAGGCCGUCAACCGGCUCGGGGACCGUGCCAGGCGGGCAGUUUGACUGGGGCGGUCGCCUCCUAAAGGGUAACGGAGGCGCGCGAAGGUCCGCUCGGGACGGUCGGCAACCGUCCUUUUGAAUGCAAGAGUACAAGCGGGCUUGACUGCGAGGCCCACAAGCCGAGCAGGUGCGAAAGCAGGCUCUAGUGAUCCGGCGGCCCCGAGUGGGUGGGCCGUCGCUCAACGGAUAAAAGGUACUCCGGGGAUAACAGGCUGAUCUUGCCCAAGAGUCCACAUCGACGGCAAGGUUUGGCACCUCGAUGUCGGCUCAUCGCAUCCUGGGGCUGUAGCAGGUCCCAAG